AAGCUCUUAUUUUUUCCACAUUGUUUGCUGCCGAGUAAGCAGGCUUCCAUCCACAUCCUUCACAUAUUUUCUGAGCUUGUGUUUUUCUUUGUCAGUAGUAAUCAUAUAACCCAGUCUCAAUCAGCAGUUACUGAUCACAGCCAAACAUACAACUGUUUUGUAUGGAAAUCACAGGACCUUUGCCUCCCUAAAGCAUUAAUGCUUUUAUUCAUUAGGCUAUGUAGUCUUGUUACUGGAGUUCAACAGGAUUUAAAGGUUCUGCUGGAGUUCCUUCUUUUCCUCUCCAAUCCCCUACACUCAACUCUCUUCCACAUGCGUUGUGGAAAAUAUGUACUUUCUAAUGCAGAGGGCGCCAGCAUGGGAAAAGGCCCCUCGAAGAGGCCAAGAUGCGCUUCCCAAGCAGCACUGCUGCCUUCCCAGGUCAUCCCAGUAGUGCAGCUGCAGCUGGUAGGCUGCAGAGAGGGAGGCAGAGCUUUUGGGACCUCUGGAACACAGUGCACAGAGACAACUGCAUCUGACUCAGAUUUCACUUAAAAGGCGCCUUCUGUUAUCAGUCAUGUAAAGGUCUAUUGACUUCAGUAGAGCUCUAUGUGUACUGUCACACACACACAUGCAUACGUGCAAAGCGCCAUCAUGAAGCAUCCUCCCAGCUAGCAGGCAGCCAGCAUGACAAUGAGAAGGCUCUUUUGUUUGUAGCCAUUUAUAGGAGACAGGGAGCUUUUAGUGCCUUGUACCAGCAUAGUCUGUGGUUCAUAUGCAGCAGUC
rnacentral:lncRNA from 1 species